UACGUAGGGGGCGAGCGUUGUCCGGAUUUAUUGGGCGUAAAGAGCGUGUAGGCGGCCAGGUAGGUCUGCUGUGAAAACUCGAGGCUCAACCUCGAGACGCCGAUGGAAACCAUUUGGCUAGAGUCCGGAAGAGGAGAGUGGAAUUCCUGGUGUAGCGGUGAAAUGCGCAGAUAUCAGGAAGAACACCCGUGGCUAAGGCGGCUCUCUAGUACGGUACUGACGCUGAGACGCGAAAGCGUGGGGAGCGAACAGG
rnacentral:rRNA from 1 species